rnacentral:rRNA from 1 species
UACGUUCCCGGGCCUUGUACACGCCGCCCGUCAAGCCAUGGAAGCUGGGGGUGCCUGAAGUCGGUGACCGCAAGGAGCUGCCUAGGGUAAAACUAGUAACUAGGGCU